rnacentral:misc_RNA from 1 species
AACGCACCUUGCGCUCUUUGGUAUUCCGAAGAGCAUGCCUGUUUGAGUGUCAUGAAAAUAUCAACCUUGACUUGGGUUUAGUGCUCUUGUCUUGGCUUGGAUUUGGCUGUUUGCCGCUCGAAAGAGUCGGCUCAGCUUAAAAGUAUUAGCUGGAUCUGUCUUUGAGACUUGGUUUGACUUGGCGUAAUAAGUAUUUCGCUAAGGACAUUCUUCGGAGUGGCCUCGUUUCUAGGACGCUUGUCCGCUUCCCAAUACAAGUUCCACCUCGUGGACAUGACUUUUUUAUUAUCUGGCCUCAAAUCAGGUAGGACUACCCGCUGAACUUAA